GAAACGACUGCUAAGACUGGAUAGGAGACAAGAAGGCAUCUUCUUGUUUUUAAAAGACCUAGCAAUAGGUAUGCUUAGGGAGGAGCUUGCGUCACAUUAGUUAGUUGGUGGGGUAAAGGCCUACCAAGACUAUGAUGUGUAGCCGGGCUGAGAGGUUGAACGGCCACAUUGGGACUGAGACACGGCCCAAACUCCUACGGGAGGCAGCAGUAGGGAAUUUUCGGCAAUGGAGGAAACUCUGACCGAGCAACGCCGCGUGAACGAUGAAGUAUUUCGGUACGUAAAGUUCUUUUAUUAGGGAAGAAUAAAUGAUGGAAAAAUCAUUCUGACGGUACCUAAUGAAUAAGCCCCGGCUAACUAUGUGCCAGCAGCCGCGGUAAUACAUAGGGGGCAAGCGUUAUCCGGAAUUAUUGGGCGUAAAGGGUGCGUAGGCGGUUAAAUAAGUUUUAUGGUCUAAGUGCAAUGCUCAACAUUGUGAUGCUAUAAAAACUGUUUAGCUAGAGUAAGAUAGAGGCAAGUGGAAUUCCAUGUGUAGUGGUAAAAUGCGUAAAUAUAUGGAGGAACACCAGUAGCGAAGGCGGCUUGCUGGGUCUUUACUGACGCUGAGGCACGAAAGCGUGGGGAGCAAACAGGAUUAGAUACCCUGGUAGUCCACGCCGUAAACGAUGAGUACUAAACGUUGGGUAAAACCAGUGUUGAAGUUAACACAUUAAGUACUCCGCCUGAGUAGUACGUACGCAAGUAUGAAACUUAAAGGAAUUGACGGGACUCCGCACAAGCGGUGGAUCAUGUUGUUUAAUUCGAAGGUACCCGAAAAACCUCACCAGGUCUUGACAUGCUUCUGCAAAGCUGUAGAAACACAGUGGAGGUUAUCAGUUGCACAGGUGGUGCAUGGUUGUCGUCAGCUCGUGUCGUGAGAUGUUGGGUUAAGUCCCGCAACGAGCGCAACCCUUAUUGUUAGUUACCAGCACGUAAUGGUGGGGACUUUAGCAAGACUGCCAGUGAUAAAUUGGAGGAAGGUGGGGAUGACGUCAAAUCAUCAUGCCCCUUAUGACCUGGGCUACAAACGUGAUACAAUGGCUGUUACAAAGGGUAGCUGAAGCGCAAGUUUUUGGCGAAUCUCAAAAAAACAGUCUCAGUUCGGAUUGAAGUCUGCAACUCGACUUCAUGAAGUUGGAAUCGCUAGUAAUCGCGAAUCAGCAUGUCGCGGUGAAUACGUUCUCGGGGUUUGUACACCGCCCGUCA
rnacentral:rRNA from 1 species